rnacentral:lncRNA from 1 species
AAAGACAGCAGCAUAUCGCAGUAAGGACCAACCUGCUCCCGUAUGACUUCUUAACUAAUUACAUCUUCAAUGACCCUAUUUCCAAAUAUGAUCCAAAAAGUACCAGGGGGUGAGGACUUCAACUUGUCUUUCUGGGGAACAUCAUGAUUCAACUUAUAACAACUAUACUCCUACUUCAGAGCAUAUUUCUGAUUAUUAUGGAAACUUGCCGUGUUCCCCGUGGGGAUAAAAAAGAAAAAAGAAACAGAUUUAAAGGCCCCAUUUCAUUAUGCAUAAUCCAGUAGCUGCAUUGUUGGAUUCCGUGGCAUUGUUGGAGAAGGUCAUCAAGAGGACACAUGAUCCACCAGUUGACUCAGGAGCUACACUUGGGCAUUCGGAGACUCCCCGCCCCCUCCCAUGUUCUUGGAAUGUGCAUUCUACCCACUGUUCCUCAUCUUUUGGUCACCCAAGAUAAGCCUUGUAAGUACAUUCCUCACUUAUUA